rnacentral:rRNA from 1 species
CCUACGGGUGGCAGCAGUGGGGAAUAUUGCACAAUGGGCGCAAGCCUGAUGCAGCCAUGCCGCGUGUGUGAAGAAGGCCUUCGGGUUGUAAAGCACUUUCAGCGGGGAGGAAGGCGUUAAGGUUAAUAACCUUGGCGAUUGACGUUACCCGCAGAAGAAGCACCGGCUAACUCUGUGCCAGCAGCCGCGGUAAUACGGAGGGUGCAAGCGUUAAUCGGAAUUACUGGGCGUAAAGCGCACGCAGGCGGUCUGUCAAGUCGGAUGUGAAAUCCCCGGGCUCAACCUGGGAACUGCAUUCGAAACUGGCAGGCUAGAGUCUUGUAGAGGGGGGUAGAAUUCCAGGUGUAGCGGUGAAAUGCGUAGAGAUCUGGAGGAAUACCGGUGGCGAAGGCGGCCCCCUGGACAAAGACUGACGCUCAGGUGCGAAAGCGUGGGGAGCAAACAGGAUUAGAUACCCGAGUAGUC